AAAGGCAGACAGCUGGUCGUGACUGCGGACUGCUGCCGCGGUUGCUGGAUUCCGGACCUGUAACUGCCUUAGAUGGGAUUACAGGAGAGACACAGACUGAAGCUGGAUCUGGGUACCCCGCGAUGGUCUUCAGCUCUGAGCUAUACGGCUUGAAUUGGAACGUGACAAAAAAGAGCUGCACUCCCAAGUUGAAGGGAGAAGAUACCCCAUGGUCUAACGAGACAAGACUUCCUAUUGACACACUUCCCUUCUCAUUAUGGACAUCAGCAUGUUCCCAGCACUUCAGUGGUGGCGAAGUCCAGCACCUCUACUCCAUAGGUAAUUGAAACCCUUGGAGGAGGAACACUGGAGAGUCCCUCGAUGGAUGUCAGGACAGAAGAAGUGGACUAGGAACCCUCUGGAUGGUGACGUUCUCCAGGUGCAGGACAGGAAUAUGUGAUGUGAAGAUUCCAAUGAGACGGGAGAUACCAAGGGAGUGCGUGCGUCCCAACCAGGCACUGCUACCGAAAAUCUCCAAUCAGUGGUGCCGGGAUGCACCGUCACCUAGAGUGGAGCACAGGGAG